rnacentral:rRNA from 1 species
UAAAAACCCCGACUUCGGAAGGGGUGUAUUUAUUAGAUACAAAACCAAUGCCCUUCGGGGCUCUUUGGUGAUUCAUGAUAACUAUACGAAUCGCACGGCCUUGCGCCGGCGAUGGUUCAUUCAAAUUUCUUCCCUAUCAACUUUCGAUGUUUGGGUAUUGGCCAAACAUGGUUGCCACGGGUAACGGAGGGGUAGGGGUCGACCCCCGAGAAGGAGCCUGAGAAACGGCUACUACAUCCAAGGAAGGCAGCAGGCGCGCAAAUUACCCAAUCCCGACUCGGGGGAGGUAGUGACAAUAAAUACUGAUACAGGGCCCUUUCGGGCCCUGUAAUUGGAAUGAGUACAAUUUUAAUCCCUUAACGAGGAACAAUUGGAGGGCAAGUCUGGUGCCAGCAGCCGCGGUAAUUCCAGCUCCAAUAGCGUAUAUUAAAGUUGUUGUGGUUAAAAAGCUCGUAGUUGAACCUUGGGCCUGGCUGGCCGGUCCGCCUCACCGCGUGCACUGGUCCGGCCGGGCCUUUCCCUCUGUGGAACCCCAUACCCUUCACUGGGCGUGGCGGGGAAACAGGACAUUUACUU